CUUGUCUCCAAUGCUAGUAAUAAUUGCACAGAAAAAGAUUUAGUAAAACCUAUCAUUAAAAGAUUUAGUAAAACCUAUCAAGUUUACUAUGUUAUUGUUUAGUCGGUUUAAAUGUUAGAAUUUUCUUCUUUAAACUUUAAUGUUGUCGUCACUACAUCUGGAAAACUACGUAAGAACAAAUUAAAAGUAUUUUAAAAGAGACCAGGUUGUUUGAAAAUCCUAAACGAAUGCUAAAAUUCGUCAAAACAUUCUGGUGUCUGAGCCAGAGUGUCAUCGAAUUGCGAUGUAAUGUAAACAGAAAUUAUAGCAAGUUGAUGUCAGUCAGCUUAGAUGGUCCAAGCCAAAAUUAUAUCGCAUUUGAAGUUUCAAACUGAGUUAAAAAUAGUGGAAGAAAAGCCGUAAUUAUACUUAUUGUUACAAUCCAUUUAAUAAAAUGCAAC